UGGAACUGCCAUCAAAACUUUUCAGCUAGAGUUUGAUAGAGGAAAGCAGAAUUUCUAGUGUAGAGGUGAAAUUCGUAGAUAUUAAAAAGAAUACCAAUUGCGAAGGCAGCUUUCUGGAUCAUUACUGACACUGAGGAACGAAAGCAUGGGUAGCGAAGAGGAUUAGAUACCCUCGUAGUUCAUGCCGUAAACGAUGUGUGUUAGACGUUGGAAAUUUAUUUUCAGUGUCGCAGCGAAAGCGAUAAACACACCGCCUGGGGAGUACGACCGCAAGGUUAAAACUCAAAUGAAUUGACGGGGACCCGCACAAGUAGUGGAGCAUGUGGUUUAAUUCGAAGAUACGCGCAGAACCUUACCAACACUUGACAUGUUCGUCGCGACUUUAAGAGAUUAAAGUUUUCGGUUCGGCCGGACGAAACACAGGUGCUGCAUGGCUGUCGUCAGCUCGUGUCGUGAGAUGUUGGGUUAAGUCCCGCAACGAGCGCAACCCUCACUUUUAGUUGCCAUCAUUUAGUUGGGCACUCUGAAAGAACUGCCAGUGAUAAGCUGGAGGAAGGUGGGGAUGACGUCAAGUCCUCAUGGCCCUUACGUGUUGGGCUACACACGUGCUACAAUGGUAUCUACAACAGGAAGCAAAACAGCGAUGUUAAGCAAAUCCUUAAAAGAUACCUCAGUUCGGAUUGCACUCUGCAACUCGAGUGCAUGAAGCUGGAAUUACUAGUAAUCGUGGAUCAGCGUGCCACGGUGAAUGCGUUCCCGGGUCUUGUACACACCGCCCGUCACACCAUAGGAAUUGAUUCUACCUUAAGGCAAGGUUUAAUACCCUUGACCACGGUAUAGUCAGCGACUGGGGUGAAGUCGUAACAAGGUAGCCGUA
rnacentral:rRNA from 1 species